GCAGGGCACAGUGGUGCAUGCCUGUAAUCCAAAGGUGCAGGAGGCUGAGGCAGGAGGAUCGUGAGUUCAAAGCCAGACUCAGCAAAAGUGAGAUGCUAAGUAACUCAAUGAGACCCUGUCUCAU
rnacentral:sRNA from 1 species